GCGGAUAUGGCGGAAUUGGCAGACGCGCUAGAUUUAGGUUCUAGUGGGAAUACCCGUGCAGGUUCAACUCCUGUUAUCCGCACCA
rnacentral:tRNA from 2 species